AUUGAACGCUGGCGGCAGGCUUAACACAUGCAAGUCGAGCGGGCGAGGUUGCUUCGGUAACUGAGCUAGCGGCGGACGGGUGAGUAAUGCUUAGGAAUCUGCCUAUUAGUGGGGGACAACAUUCCGAAAGGGAUGCUAAUACCGCUUACGUCCUACGGGAGAAAGCAGGGGCUCUUUAUGACCUUGCGCUAAUAGAUGAGCCUAAGUCGGAGUAGCUAGUUGGUGGGGUAAAGGCCUACCAAGGCGACGAUCUGUAGCGGGUCUGAGAGGAUGAUCCGCCACACUGGGACUGAGACACGGCCCAGACUCCUACGGGAGGCAGCAGUGGGGAAUAUUGGACAAUGGGGGGAACCCUGAUCCAGCCAUGCCGCGUGUGUGAAGAAGGCCUUUUGGUUGUAAAGCACUUUAAGUGGGGAGGAGGCUUACCUGGUUAAUACCUGGGCUAAGUGGACGUUACCCACAGAAUAAGCACCGGCUAACUCUGUGCCAGCCGCCGCCGUAA
rnacentral:rRNA from 1 species